UUCACACUGUACCACCUCCUCCUACUCUGCAAAGAGGAGUAGGGAGGAGAACUGCUAGCACUCACUCCCUCGGGCUCUGCAUUUCCUCAAAAAGUGACCUCCGCCAGACUUUGACCAGAUUCCUCUGUACUUUAAACAAGACUCCCAUUACAGCCCUUAGCGUCUCGAGCUCCUUUACAACUGAUAAGACGACUGCAUUCCUGGUGAGCCCGCAGGUCGGCCCUGCGGGUGACCCCACUUGACAAUGUCCAGUCACGAGAGGCUCCAGUGCCCAUACACAACCUCUGCAGCUCCACUCAUCUCCCUCCCCAUCUCCCUCCAACAAACACUCACCCACACCGAAGAGUGCAGAGAUAAGGAACAGAAGGCAGGGUGUUCUCUGACUGUACUCCACGCAGGGCCUCUGAUAACUGCAUUUUUUGAAGCUGAUGUCCUUUUGCUCAGCUCACCACCUCACUGAAACAAGUUGGGAGCCCUGCAGAGCUGUGACAGACUUCGUUUCCCCUCAAGAUGUCUAGGCCUCCACAUUUCCAUACAUGCAGCGCAGUUUCAUCAUGGACUCAUUUUGAAAGCUAAAACAAGCUUUUUUUCUGGUUAUGAGUCAGCUUGGGUAAAUGGAUUUUCCAUCUUACUCUUCAUAAAGAGGGAGUAUCUUUCCUCCACUCCCUGUGAUGUCAAAGCACAGCCAGUCACACAGAGUGAGAGCUCUGUUGGCACCCAUCGAAUAGACAGUGUCGCCCCAAACCCAAAGGGAUUACAUGUGUGUGUCCUCUUUGUUCAGAGACAUCCAGCGGCAUCUGGCAACAGUCAGUCCCCUUGUGCUACUUUAUGGAGACAAGUGUGUUGUGUGAUCGGGUUUCUCAAGCUUCAUUUAUUAAAUUAAGUAAUGCAUCACUGUGA